rnacentral:rRNA from 1 species
GACGAACGCUGGCGGCGUGCUUAACACAUGCAAGUCGAACGGAAAGGCCCUGCUUUUGUGGGGUGCUCGAGUGGCGAACGGGUGAGUAACACGUGAGUAACCUGCCCUUGACUUUGGGAUAACUUCAGGAAACUGGGGCUAAUACCGGAUAGGAGCUCCUGCUGCAUGGUGGGGGUUGGAAAGUUUCGGCGGUUGGGGAUGGACUCGCGGCAUAUCAGCUUGUUGGUGGGGUAGUGGCUUACCAAGGCUUUGACGGGUAGCCGGCCUGAGAGGGUGACCGGCCACAUUGGGACUGAGAUACGGACCAGAAGCCUACGGGCGGCAGCGGUGGGGAAUAUUGCACAGUGGGCGGAAGCCUGAUGCAGCAACGCCGCGUGCGGGAUGACGGCCUUCGGGUUGUAAACAGCUUUGGCAUGUGACGAAGCGUGAGUGACGGUAAUGGGUAAAGAAGCACCGGCUAACUACGUG